ACCUAUGUAGUUGAGUUUAAAAUAUUAGAUUGUGAUUCUGAAGGUGUAUAAAAAAUAUAUUUUAGGUA
rnacentral:tRNA from 1 species